rnacentral:rRNA from 1 species
AACGAACGCUGGCGGCAUGCCUAACACAUGCAAGUCGAACGAGACCUUCGGGUCUAGUGGCGCACGGGUGCGUAACGCGUGGGAAUCUGCCCUCUGGUACGGAAUAACUCAGGGAAACUUGAGCUAAUACCGUAUAAUGACUUCGGUCCAAAGAUUUAUCGCCUGAGGAUGAGCCCGCGUCGGAUUAGCUAGUUGGUGAGGUAAAGACUCACCAAGGCGACGAUCCGUAGCUGGUCUGAGAGGAUGAUCAGCCACACUGGGACUGAGACACGGCCCAGACUCCUACGGGAGGCAGCAGUGGGGAAUAUUGGACAAUGUGCGAAAGCCUGAUCCAGCAAUGCCGCGUGAGUGAUGAAGGCCUUAGGGUUGUAAAGCUCUUUUACCCGGGAUGCUAAUGACAGUACCGGGAGAAUAAGCCCCGGCUAACUCCGUGCCAGCCGCCGCAGUAA